rnacentral:rRNA from 1 species
GACGAACGCUGGCGGCGUGCUUAACACAUGCAAGUCGAACGGAGCACCCUUGAUUGAGGUUUCGGCCAAAUGAUAGGAAUGCUUAGUGGCGGACUGGUGAGUAACGCGUGAGGAACCUGCCUUUCAGAGGGGGACAACAGUUGGAAACGACUGCUAAUACCGCAUGACGCAUUUUGAUCGCAUGGUCGAAAUGCCAAAGAUUUAUCGCUGAAAGAUGGCCUCGCGUCUGAUUAGCUAGUUGGUGAGGUAACGGCCCACCAAGGCGACGAUCAGUAGCGGGACUGGGAGGUUGAGCGGCCACAUUGGGACUGAGAUACGGCCCAGACUCCUACGGGAGGCAGCAGUGGGGAAUAUUGGGCAAUGGGCGCAAGCCUGACCCAGCAACGCCGCGUGAAGGAAGAAGGCUUUCGGGUUGUAAACUUCUUUUAAGUGGGAAGAGUAGAAGACGGUACCACUUGAAUAAGCCACGGCUAACUACGUGCCAGCAGCCGCCGUAA